CCGUACGCAUUCCAACAGAACGGAUCCACAACCAUUUCACCUUUUGAAGGCACCAAAUCAAUAUCCGAAAGAGUCAAAUUUACGCAUGUUUUUGCUCGUGCAAUAGUACUGAUCGAUAAUUAUUGGAUUUCGGACAUUAUCCAUUUGGAUAUUGUCGAACGUUACACCAGAAACGGACCCGGAUCCACCUUGCCAUGUCUUGAUCCGUACACCAUUGUCGGAAAACUUGAUGAACGAGUCUCUAACCGUAAUAUUGGAGACGCAUGCACGUGAGUUUUGGUUGCCUAAACUUCCAAUGCUACAUAAAACAUAAUUAUGUUAAAUCAUUAUAUUGAGACAUUAUAUAGAGAAAAUGUUUAAAGUGUAUAACAUUUAAAAAAAAAAAUAUCAUCAUAAAAUCAGUAUUCAAGAUUUUUUUUUUUGAAAAUAGCAUUCAUUUUGCAAGAUAAAAAAUAAUAAACUACUAAUUUUUAAACUCUAAUUUCACCCAUCCCAUAAAUACUAAACUUUAGACUCUGAUCAUAAAUCCUAAACCUAAAUAUUACUAAAAAGUCUUUCAAAAUUUUAACAAAUGUUAUUUUGGAAAAAAAUUUCCAUUAUAUAAAAUUGAAUUACAAUAAUGAGUAACUUUUCUUUACCUAAUUCCAUGACCGCCAGGUCCGCAAGUGAGAUUCAGUAUAUCGAUAUUGUAUGAUCCAGAUCCAAUGGAGACACAAUCAUCUCCUGAGGAAAGUUUUUAAGAAUCUUUAGUGUGUUGACACUAUAUAUGAUAAGAUAGCUAUGUGUACGUUGAAUAUAUACCGUUGGAGAUAACCGAGUUAUGAAUCUCAACGGAGUUGGAGUUCUCGAUGUGGAUGCCGUCAGUGUUGGGACUUGACGGUGGAGAUGUGAUUCGAAGAGAGUUUAUGUGAACUUCAUGACAUCCGUCGAAUGUCAUAUGAAACUGCGGGCUAUUUUUAAUAGUCACACCUUGCAUACUUAGAUUUGAGCUCAUGAAAAACCUCAAAGCCUGUCCACACCAAAAUUGUUACAUACAUUAUUUUAAAAUUUGUAAAAUUAAGAAAUAUGUCUUUUAAGUA